rnacentral:tRNA from 3 species
AAGGGAGACCUAAUUCGGGUAGGAGACGAAAAAAAAGUAGUCGCUACCAAGAAUCAAUCCCAAAAGGUCGGAGCGAGGCGAAAUUGGCUUUCAAACUAGGUUCUGGGUUCACACAAGACCUGAAUCAGGAACAAGGGCUAUUAGCUCAGGUGGUUAGAGCGCACCCCUGAUAAGGGUGAGGUCCCUGGUUCGAGUCCAGGAUGGCCCACCUGUACAGGUGGCCAAAACCAAGAAAAGAAGCGAGGAAUCAGCACCUGCUCUUACCUACAUAGUAAGAGAGAAUGCUGGCUCUGAGUACAGAGUCCAGAGGAACCUUGAAAACUGCAUAGAGCUAGGUGAAAAAGCCAAAAAAGAAGACCGCAA